UUUUGGACAAUGGGGGCAACCCUGAUCCAGCCAUGCCGCGUGAGUGAAGAAGGCCUUCGGGUUGUAAAGCUCUUUCGUCCGGAACGAAAUUGCAGCGUCUAAUAAACGCUGUAGAUGACGGUACCGGAAGAAGAAGCACCGGCUAACUACGUGCCAGCAGCCGCGGUAAUACGUAGGGUGCGAGCGUUAAUCGGAAUUACUGGGCGUAAAGCGUGCGCAGGCGGUCGUGUAAGACAGGUGUGAAAUCCCCGGGCUCAACCUGGGAACUGCGCUUGUGACUGCACGGCUAGAGUACGGCAGAGGGGGGUGGAAUUCCUGGUGUAGCAGUGAAAUGCGUAGAGAUCAGGAGGAACACCGAUGGCGAAGGCAGCCCCCUGGGCCGAUACUGACGCUCAUGCACGAAAGCGUGGGGAGCAAACAGG
rnacentral:rRNA from 1 species